UACAGAGGUCUCAAGCGUUGUUCGGAUUCAUUGGGCGUAAAGGGUGUGUAGGUGGUGCCGUAAGUCGGGUGUGAAAUCUCGGGGCUUAACUCCGAAACUGCAUUCGAUACUGCGGUGCUUGAGGACUGGAGAGGAGACUGGAAUUCAUGGUGUAGCAGUGAAAUGCGUAGAUAUCGUAAGGAAGACCAGUGGCGAAAGGCGGGUCUCUGGACAGUUCCUGACGCUGAGGCACGAAGGCCGGGGGAGCAAAACGGGG
rnacentral:rRNA from 1 species